rnacentral:rRNA from 1 species
UCCUGGCUCAGGACGAACGCUGGCGGCGUGCCUAACACAUGCAAGUCGAACGGAGUUGAAAGGAGCUUGCUUUUUUCAACUCAGUGGCGGACGGGUGAGUAACGCGUGAGUAACCUGCCUUUCAGAGGGGGAUAACGUUCUGAAAAGAACGCUAAUACCGCAUAAGAUUGUAGCUUCGCAUGGAGCAGCAAUCAAAGGAGCAAUCCGCUGAAAGAUGGACUCGCGUCCGAUUAGAUAGUUGGCGGGGUAACGGCCCACCAAGUCGACGAUCGGUAGCCGGACUGAGAGGUUGAUCGGCCACAUUGGGACUGAGACACGGCCCAGACUCCUACGGGAGGCAGCAGUGGGGAAUAUUGCACAAUGGAGGAAACUCUGAUGCAGCGAUGCCGCGUGAGGGAAGAAGGUUUUCGGAUUGUAAACCUCUGUCUUCAGGGACGAUAAUGACGGUACCUGAGGAGGAAGCUCCGGCUAACUACGUGCCAGCAGCCGCGGUAAUACGUAGGGAGCAAGCGUUGUCCGGAUUUACUGGGUGUAAAGGGUGCGUAGGCGGAUUGGCAAGUCAGAAGUGAAAUCCAUGGGCUUAACCCAUGAACUGCUUUUGAAACUGUUAGUCUUGAGUGAAGUAGAGGUAGGCGGAAUUCCCGGUGUAGCGGUGAAAUGCGUAGAGAUCGGGAGGAACACCAGUGGCGAAGGCGGCCUACUGGGCUUUAACUGACGCUGAGGCACGAAAGUGUGGGUAGCAAACAGGAUUAGAUACCCUGGUAGUCCACACUGUAAACGAUGAUUACUAGGUGUUGGAGGAUUGACCCCUUCAGUGCCGCAGUUAACACAAUAAGUAAUCCACCUGGGGAGUACGACCGCAAGGUUGAAACUCAAAGGAAUUGACGGGGGCCCGCACAAGCAGUGGAGUAUGUGGUUUAAUUCGACGCAACGCGAAGAACCUUACCAGGUCUUGACAUCCAACUAACGAAGCAGAGAUGCAUUAGGUGCCCUUCGGGGAAAGUUGAGACAGGUGGUGCAUGGUUGUCGUCAGCUCGUGUCGUGAGAUGUUGGGUUAAGU